GGUGCUCGAGUGGCGAACGGGUGAGUAACACGUGAGUAACCUGCCCUUGACUUGGGAUAACUUCAGGAAACUGGGGCUAAUACCGGAUAGGAGCUCCUGCUGCAUGGUGGGGGUUGGAAAGUUUCGGCGGUUGGGGAUGGACUCGCGGCUUAUCAGCUUGUUGGUGGGGUAGUGGCUUACCAAGGCUUUGACGGGUAGCCGGCCUGAGAGGGUGACCGGCCACAUUGGGACUGAGAUACGGCCCAG
rnacentral:rRNA from 1 species